ACGUAUUAGGCUUUCUACAUACAAAAACUUAGCAUUGACAAUCGCAAUAACAUCAAUGGUAAAUAUAAACAUUAUUGUUUUCAUAUUCUGUCAGUCUUUUCUUUUUUCAAGUGUAUUAUAUUAUUAAUCCACCAAAGGGGAAACAAGACUUUGAAGUCUACAACGAUUUAUGUAGAAAUAAAAGUGAGGCCCAACAGAGCCUACCAGAUUAACAUCUACGACAUAAAGAUAUUUGACAUUGGACUCUAUCCAAUACAGGUGUCGACAUGAGAUUAUAACUGCAACACAUGAUGAAGAAUCAUCGGAAGUGUACCGACAUCAACCUUCGCCGCCGACGAACACCGAAUUCGGUGAGGAAAACAUCGCCAAAACAUCGCAUGAAGAAUUCUUGUUACUAGUUACCACCGAAAUAAAUCUUAACGGUGCUCCAUUUAAAAGACACGGCAUAAGGGAAUCGUAAUAAGCAUCGGAAUAUUCUUCAAUCUUUCAACCCCAAUACAUAAUCCCUUGAAAGAUUUUCUGCAAAUUGAAAUUUCUAAAGACACAAGACAGAAAUUAAUUUUAAGCAACUAGCACCUAAAACUAAUUACCAUCUCAGAUCUUUUAAAAUUUAUUGAAAAAGAAAACUGAAAAGAACAAAGCAAUCAGUAUAAAACUGAUCGACUACGAGCAAGGAUACAAAUGGCCAAAACUUCUCAUGGAAGCAGGAUUUGCUGAACACGAACCGGUCAUCUCCACUAAAGGAGCUGAAAGAUACCGGACAAAAACCCGAGUCACUCAGGACGGUUAUUACUGGAAUAUUUCAGUCGGCGGAGACCAAACGCUUUCCCUCUCUGAAAGUUUUAAGUCAUAUUCUGUCAGUCCAAUAUAUAGAAUUAGAGAUAAUUUAAAGUUAUAUUGUUACUGUGGGUCAUGUCGUUUUAAGACUAUU
rnacentral:lncRNA from 1 species